rnacentral:misc_RNA from 1 species
GAAAUGCAGAAGGUCAGGGAAGUG